UCUAAGUUGAAGGGCAAUUUUUAUUACAAGGAUCUGGCUUUCAAUUUCCUGGAUGUUUGCUUGUUUCAGAAAAUUUAAAGCCUUGGCUAUUUUAGGGCUAUCUCCUUUGGUUAUAUUUUGAAUCCCUCCUAGAUAACUUGUACAAAUAUUUUGAGUUAGAUGUAUGUCUGCACAUAGGAAACUUGCAGGCUUUCAUGUUUUCUCACUUCUUUUCUCUUUAAAGUCAACAUAGUAUUUUUACUUUCAGAAAUUUCCUCUAUACAUCCUGUGCAUUGUCUAUACCGAGCCAUCCUGUGUUUUAGACCUGUGCAUCACAAGCUAUUGAAAAGAUACAGAAGCCCUUGUGAUGGAAGGGAGACCAAGGAGUGGAAGGGGAAGGAAGGUCGUAGACCUGCUUGAUUUCUAAGCAAUGUGAGAGUGUUGCGUCUUAAUCUAAUUUCAGCUGCCACCGAACAACACAUGCACAUACGGUAUACGUUUCAUUGUGGGCUGGUCGCGCCGAACUUAUCUUAUUGACCAGGAGGCGAGUGGUAAACGUGCUCACUCGUUACACCAGAUUUUUUUCAUCCGUCUUGUUCAGUAAAAGAAUUUCACGCUUUUGUUUAGAGUGCCAAGGGACCAGAAUUGCUUGCAACUGGUGGUGGCCAGAUGACAUAAUUUUAGCCAAUAAAAUG